CCCUUAGAUGUCCUGGGCCGCACGCGCGCUACACUGAUGCAUGCCACGAGUUUAUAACCUUGGCCUGAAAGGUCUGGGUAAUCUUUUGAACGUGCAUCGUGAUAGGGAUAGAUUAUUGCAAUUGUUAAUCUUGAACGAGGAAUUCCUAGUAAACGCGAGUCAUCAGCUCGCAUUGAUUACGUCCCUGCCCUUUGUACACACCGCCCGUCGCACCUACCGAUUGAAUGGUUCGGUGAAGAUCUCGGACUUCGAUAUUUAUUCUUUAUUGAGUUUAUAUUGUGGGAAGUUAUCUAAACCUCAUCAUUUAGAGGAAGGUGAAGUCGUAACA
rnacentral:rRNA from 1 species